rnacentral:misc_RNA from 1 species
AUAACAAGUAGUAUUGUAUAUUAUUUUUUUUUAUAUAAAAAAUUUAAUAUAUUUAUAAAAUAUUUUUAUAUUAAUAUAAAAAGUAUUUUUAUUGUAUAUUUUUUUUUUUAUAAUAUAAAAAAAAAUUAUAUCAUGUUUGAUAUAUAUAUUUUUUUUUAAAUAAAAAAAAAAAAACUUUUAUUAAAAAAAUAAAAUAAUAAUAAUAAUAAUUUAUUUUUAUUAUUUUUUUUUUCUUAUAAUUUU